rnacentral:rRNA from 1 species
UGAACGCUAGCGGCAUGCCUAACACAUGCAAGUCGAGGGGUAAUGUCAGCUUGCUGAAUACACGACCGGCGCACGGGUGAGUAACACGUUUGCAACCUACCUCUAACUGGAGGAUAGCCCGAAGAAAUUCGGAUUAAUAUUCCAUAAAGUCAAUUUAAGGCAUCUUUUAUUGAUUAAAGCUCCGGCGGUUAGAGAUGGGCAUGCGUGUCAUUAGCUAGUUGGUGAGGUAACGGCUCACCAAGGCCACGAUGACUAGGGGGUCUGAGAGGAUGAUCCCCCACACUGGUACUGAGACACGGACCAGACUCCUACGGGGGGCAGCAGUGAGGAAUAUUGGGCAAUGGACGCAAGUCUGACCCAGCCAUGCCGCGUGCAGGAUGACUGCCCUAUGGGUUGUAAACUGCUUUUGUUUGGGAAGAAACCCCCGAUCGUGAUCGGGGCUGACGGUACCAUACGAAUAAGCAUCGGCUAACUCCGUGCCAGCAGCCGCGGUAAUACGGAGGAUGCAAGCGUUAUCCGGAUUCAUUGGGUUUAAAGGGUGCGCAGGCGGAAUAUUAAGUCAGUGGUGAAAUCCUGCAGCUUAACUGUAGAACUGCCAUUGAUACUGAUAUUCUUGAAUAUAGUUGAGGUAGGCGGAAUGUGUAAUGUAGCGGUGAAAUGCUUAGAUAUUACACAGAACACCAAUUGCGAAGGCAGCUCACUAAACUAAUAUUGACGCUGAGGCACGAAAGCGUGGGUAACAAACAGGAUUAGAUACCCUGGUAGUCCACGCUGUAAACUAUGAUCACUCGCUGUUGGCAAUACAUCGUCAGCGGCUGAGCGAAAGCAUUAAGUGAUCCACCUGGGGAGUACGGUCGCAAGAUUGAAACUCAAAGGAAUUGACGGGGGCCCGCACAAGCGGAGGAACAUGUGGUUUAAUUCGAUGAUACGCGAGGAACCUUACCUGGGCUUAAAUGCAGAGCGACGUCCGCCGAAAGGUGGAUUCCUUCGGGCGAUCUGCAAGGUGCUGCAUGGUUGUCGUCAGCUCGUGCUGUGAGGUGUCGGGUUAAGUCCCAUAACGAGCGCAACCCUUAUCGUUAGUUGCCAGCGGGUAAUGCCGGGGACUCUAACGAAACUGCCGGUGUAAACCGUGAGGAAGGUGGGGAUGACGUCAAAUCAGCACGGCCCUUAUGUCCAGGGCUACACACGUGUUACAAUGGUCGGUACAGAGGGCAGCUACCACGCGAGUGGAUGCUAAUCUCGAAAACCGGUCUCAGUUCGGAUUGAAGUCUGCAACUCGACUUCAUGAAGCUGGAUUCGCUAGUAAUCGCGCAUCAGCCAUGGCGCGGUGAAUACGUUCCCGGGCCUGUACACACCGCCCGUCAAGCCAUGGAAGCUUGGGGUACCU